CGAGAGGCGUCGUCGUCGGAGACGGUGGAGAAGAGUCGGAGAAGAAAAGAAAAGAAAAAAGCAAAAAAAAAAAAGUUGCGGCGCGGCCUUAACGGGGUCGGAGGCGAGGAAGGUGGGGGGUGUAUGGACGAGGGCAAGGGCGAGGGCGAGAGCAUGAGGGUGAGAGGCGAGACGGACCGUUUCUGCCUCCGCUCCGCCUCCGCUCUACCGGCGAGAAAAAAAAAAGAACGAGAGAAACGAAGAAGAGAGAGAAAGAGGAAAGAGAAAAAGUAAUAAGGGUAUUUUGGUCAGUUUGCUGAAAAAGCGGAUUGAAUAUGCAAAAAUGAAAAAGGUGGCCCGAUUUUGCAAACGCCCAAAAUAAGUGGAUUUUUUAUGCAAAUUGGCCGUAAAAGAUUGACAAAUUAUGUAAUUAACCCUUACAUUUAGAAUAAUUACAAAUACUUAUACUUUAUUUAUUUUAAAUCUCCAUUCGUUUCCUUCCCCC
rnacentral:lncRNA from 1 species